rnacentral:rRNA from 1 species
UACAGAGGGUGCGAGCGUUGUCCGGAAUCACUGGGCGUAAAGGGCGCGUAGGUGGCGACCCAAGUCGAUGGUGAAAGCUCGCCGCUCAACGGCGAGUCGGCCACCGAUACUGGGUUGCUGGAGCACUGUAGAGGCAGAUGGAAUUCCGGGUGUAGCGGUGGAAUGCGUAGAGAUCGGAAGAACACCGGUGGCGAAGGCGGCCCGCUGGGCAGGAAGGGGUGGGUAACCAUCCGGCUGACACUGAGGCGCGGACAGCGUGGGGGAGCAAACAGG